rnacentral:rRNA from 1 species
UACGGGGGGGGGUAAGCGUUGUUCGGAAUUACUGGGCGUAAAGGGCUCGUAGGCGGGAUGGCAAGUCGGUCGUGAAAUCCUUCGGCUCAACCGAAGAACGUCGGCCGAUACUGCCGUUCUUGAGGGAUGCAGAGGAGAUUGGAAUUCCCGGUGUAGCGGUGAAAUGUGUAGAGAUCGGGAGGAACACCGGUGGCGAAGGCGGGUCUCUGGGCAUCUCCUGACGCUGAGGCGCGAAAGCGUGGGGAGCAAACGGGG